AUUCCUAUAUUUUGUCAAAAAUCAUAUUAGAGACCAGAAUAAUAAUACUCCAUCCGUCCACGAUCAAUAUUUCAUUUUUGUCAUUUUAGUACGCCCACAAAAAAGAGUGACAAUUUAAAAUGCUCUAUUCCUCAAGUUAUAUGGGGAAAAUGUCCUCUUUUAUAAACAUAAGCAUUAUAUGCCCUAUUCUUUAAAUACCAUUUGAUUUGAUGAGUUUGCUUGAUUUUUCGUGAAAGUCUUACACAUUUGACCGAUUUGAUAGCUAUCAGUCAUAAAAGUCAACGAUUUGACAGCUAUCAGUCAAGAGUACAUAUGACCCGUGGGUGGCUAGAUCAUGUAGCCGGCCGGGCGGACACACGAUUACACUGGACGGACACAUGAUUUUACCGGCCGAACACAUGAUCUAGUGUCAAAUCAUUUAUUUUUACGACUGAUAGCUGUCAAAUCGGUCAAAUGUGUAAGACUUUCACAAAAAAUCAAGCAAACCCAUCAACAUCAAAUGAUAAAAUAGGUACUUCACAUAAUUUGAGCAUAAAAUGCUUAAGUUUACAAAGUAGGGCAUUUUUCAUAUACAACAUAAGAAAUAAGACAUUUUAUCCUACUAACACCACAAAAAAAUAUUCUCUUUCCAUUUUUAAACACUUCCUCACAAUACAAUUAACUAAUGUGGGGCCCAAACUCCUCUCUCCGACCACACAUUUUUAAACACUACCCCACAAUAACACCUUUAAUGUGGGACUCAAAUUCCACUUACACUCAAACUUCAUUUCUCUACCACACAUUUUUACCACAUAUUUUUAAACAUUAUUCAUAAUAGCAUCUUUAAUGAGCGGCCCAAACUCCAAUCACAACACAUUUACCUAACAUUUUUUAAAACUCGCACUAAAAAAGUUGGAGAAUAUUGAUGGUGGACGGAAGGAGUAGUAUAUAUAAAAGGAUAUAAAAAAAUUUGAACCCCCAAAAAUAAUGGACCCUCGACCGUUACUCAUGUUGGCCGCCCUCGGAGACGGCCCUGCUCUCGCUUUCUUGGAUAUGUUUCACCUUGUGUUUCAGCCCAAGUCGUACUUCUUUUAGUAUUUCGGACCCUUGCAUGGGUAUCGUUUAGUACUCCCUCCAUCCCAUGAAUCUUGAUAUGUAUUUCUUUUUGGGCCGUUCCACGAAUCUUGAAACAUUUUCAAAUAAGGUAAUAAUUAUUACAUUCUCUCUCAUACUUUAUCACUUUUAUUACAUUAUCUCUCUUGCUUUAUCACUUUUAUACUUUAUUAACUACACACUUAAAAUACUAAUCUACAAUUCAUUAAUUCCCGUGCCGAAAUCAAACAUGUCAAGAUUCGUGGGACGAAGGAAGUAUUUGAGAUUAAGUAUUUAAUUGGUUUUCGUCGUCUUUCUCUCAACCCU
rnacentral:lncRNA from 1 species